rnacentral:rRNA from 1 species
AUUGAACGCUGGCGGCAGGCCUAACACAUGCAAGUCGAGCGGAUGAAGGGAGCUUGCUCCUGGAUUCAGCGGCGGACGGGUGAGUAAUGCCUAGGAAUCUGCCUGGUAGUGGGGGAUAACGUCCGGAAACGGGCGCUAAUACCGCAUACGUCCUGAGGGAGAAAGUGGGGGAUCUUCGGACCUCACGCUAUCAGAUGAGCCUAGGUCGGAUUAGCUAGUUGGUGGGGUAAAGGCCUACCAAGGCGACGAUCCGUAACUGGUCUGAGAGGAUGAUCAGUCACACUGGAACGGAGACACGGUCCAGACUCCUACGGGAGGCAGCGGUGGGGAAUAUUGGACAAGGGGCGAAAUCCUGAUCCAGCCAUGCCGCGUGUGUGAAGAAGGUCUUCGGAUUGUAAAGCACUUUAAGUUGGGAGGAAGGGCAGUAAGUUAAUACCUUGCUGUUUUGACGUUACCAACAGAAUAAGCACCGGCUAACUUCGUG